GAUUCAUAGUAACCGAACGGAUCGCAUUAUGGUCAUUCUUUUGUAAUGGCUGGCGAUAGAUCAUUCAAGUUUCUGACCUAUCAGCUUUCGACGGUAGUGUAUUGGACUACCGUGGCAGUGACGGGUAACGGGGAAUUAGGGUUCGAUUCCGGAGAGGGAGCCUGAGAAACGGCUACCACAUCUAAGGAAGGCAGCAGGCGCGCAAAUUACCCAAUCCUGACUCAGGGAGGUAGUGACAAGAAAUAACAACACUGGAAAUUUUAUUUCUAGUGAUUGGAAUGAUGGGAAUUUAAACCCCUUUCAGAGUAACAAUUGGAGGGCAAGUCUGGUGCCAGCAGCCGCGGUAAUUCCAGCUCCAAUAGCGUAUAUUAAAGUUGUUGCAGUUAAAAAGCUCGUAGUUGGAUGUCUGCUGGAAGCAAUCAGUCCGCCCUAUUUGUAGGGUGUGCACUUGAUGAAUUCUGGCAUUUUUGUCCCAAUGAUGUAACGGGGCGGUGGUAUUCGGUGAAAGCCGAGUAUCCUGUUUUCCGAUUAUUGGGAUACUGUUACUUUGAGAAAAUUAGAGUGUUUGAAGCAGGCUAAUUGCCUUGAAUACUGCAGCAUGGAAUAACAAUAUAGGAUUUCGGUUCUAUUUUGUUGGUUUCUAGGACUGAAAUAAUGAUUAAUAGGGACAGUUGGGGGCAUUCGU
rnacentral:rRNA from 1 species